rnacentral:tRNA from 1 species
GGCCCUAUCGUCUAGGGGCUAGGACGCCAGACUCUCAUUCUGGAAACAGGGGUUCGAUUCCCCUUAGGGCCG